CUUUUUUAACUAGUGGCCCAAUCAUUCCCACCAUCUCUGUGCUGAUAAGUACGUGUCCUAGAUGAGAACCCUGAAGAAUGCAGACCUUCUUCCCCCGAAGGAGAUGCCACAAGCUCUCCAACACAGCCCCCUUUAGUUCCAAAGACUAGAGAUGACCACAUUGGUAGAAGUAUAUCUCGAGGCACAGGAAGGGAGCCCCACCAGGGAUAAUUCAGACAGGACUAGAGAAUAACAUCAUUUCACAUACCCUGGGAUAAACACCCUGGGUUCCUAUAGAAGGACUAUUACUUAUGGGAGUCCAACUUCUCCUUUUGUUUUGUUAUUAUCAGUUUAUCUUUCUCCCACUCCACUUUUCCUUCAAGGUACCAAUCCUUUCCUGUUCCUCGUUUGGCCAUCUUUCUUUUUCUGCCUCCACAUUGGGAGGGGAGGACUUCUCAGUUCUAACAAGCUGCCAUACUCCUAAGAAAGCCAUUUUUGAAAAAUUUAACAAUCCAGGUUCUUCUGGAGAACUCAUUCUCCACACGCACAGUUUGCUGCAAAAGGAAGUUGCAAGAAUUUCUUGAGGAAGAAACUGGUGACUUGGUCCAUCAGUCACGAAGUUCUUUCUAUUCUCGUUUAGUUUUCAAGAAAUUAUUGGUUUGUGUUGCUCUGGGGAAAUUGGAAAUCAUUACAUUGUAAAGACAAAUAUGGAUGAUAUUUACAAGAGAGAAUUUCAGAUCUGGGUUUUUGAAAGAAAACAGAAUUGCGCAUUGAAAACGAUGGAAGGAAAAAGACAAUGGUCUAAUGUGCAUUCCUCAUUACCUCUCGUGGCUUUGGCUGGGAGUUGGAAAAAGCUAAAAUUUCAGAACAGUCUCUGUAAGGCUCUCUGUGGCUCCAGUUCACCAUUUUAUAUUGUUGCAUGCUGUAGAAAGGAGCUAUUGCUGUUGUUUUGUUUUUUUAUUUAAAUCACUAAGGCACUGUUUUUAUCUUUUGUAAAAAAAAAAAAAAAGUUGUUCACUGUGCACUUAUAGAAAAAAUAAUCAAAAAUGUUGGGAUUUUAGAAGCUCUCUUUUUGAUAAACCAAAGAUUUAGAAGUCAUUCCAUUGUUAACUUGUAAAAAUGUGUGAACACAGAGAGUUUUUGGUGAUUGCUACUCUGAAAGCUGCCAGAUCUUAUUCUGGGGGUGGGAUGUGGAGGAAUACACAUACACACACAAACAUACAUGUAUGUAUAAUAGAUAUAUACAUAUGUGUAUAUUAUAUCUGUGUGUGCAUGUAUCUCCAAAAGCGGCGUUACAGAGUUCUACACCAAAAGCCUUUAACCCUUAAUCUGCUGUGAAUGAUACCUGGCCUUUCUCACUAUGAAUUUCUGAUUAACCAACCAGACUACACGUUGCCUCUCUGUGUAUGACUAACGGCUCCAACCCGAUGACUCACAGCUACUUGCUUAUCGUGAACAAGCUCAUCUUGGCAAUGAAUAUGGAUGUGAAAAGACAGAACAGCUUCACCAUUAGUAGCUGGAAAUGGUAUCACAGUCUCUUAUAGAGGAAUAUGAAAGGAACAAGAAAAUCAUUUUACAUUCCUUUUAUCUGUAUUGUGCUUUAAAAGAUCCACAUGGUAAAUUUUUUAUUUUGCUUUUAUGUCAGUCAUCAGAACCAAAAAAAUCCAGAAGAAAAAAUUGCCAGUGUUUCCUUUGAAGAUGAAGCUACUGGGGAAGAAAACCUUAUUAAUACACUCCACACAUUUGUUCAUUCCUCAGCUGUUGGUGUUUUCUUGGGGUCUUGACAAAGCUUGCUGGUCAGUGCACUUUUCAGGUGUCACGUUUUGCUGUUUGUAUGUUUUUUCUUCCCCUUACUUCCUUUGGAAAACAAACUCACACAGUGCCCCUACUCUGAGACCUGGGACUGAGUGUUAAUUAUUUUUUCCUUGGGUAUUUCUAUCUGAGAGACUAGACCUAGUUAGGAGGCCUCUGUACUUCUCCAGAUUGUACCUUUUUAUGGGGAUCUUUGAGGCUAUGACCCAGGACUGAUAGAUAUGCCUUACGGAAGACAAAAGAUAAAAUGGUUCCUAUAUCCUAAUGCAAACCAACACAGUUAAAAGAGCAGAUCUCUGGAUAACUGCUCUCAACCUGCUUCUACAGUCUCCACAAACCGCAUUCACCCUCUCUCUUCAUAGCUCAGACAUGAAAUUUGAGGGAGAAAACUGGAGAUAAUUGGGAGAAAAUUGAUGAAGUUGGCUGCUUCCAGUAGAUCAGAUAAUCCAUGAAUUUGUCUCCCAUUGAGAAUUUUAUUUUAAAUUCUUUUAAACUCUUCGUUGUGUCUUUUGUGAUGACAAAUCAGGCAUGACUAAAAGAUGUACAGAGACUUACGAAGAUGGUCACAUUCAAGUUCCCUAAUGCUCUUAGAACCUGAAGAUGACCAUGUGUAGUUUUCUUAAGACCUCUGAACCCCCAUGGUGAUGAAGACUUGAAGACAUUUGCAGCUAUCUGCUGCAGUCUGGUAGAUUCAUACUUAUCUAAAGAAGUCAAAAAAUUUAUUCGUGCAAGUGCUUGCAGGAAGCCAGUGCUUAUUAGUAGUGACCCUGCUUCUAUCAACGUUAUUGAGACAACACAUAUUCUAUUCUAAGGGAGAAAGAGGGAGGAAGAGAGGGAGGGAGGGAGGAAGAAGAGGGAGGGAGCGAGGAAGGAAGAUAGGAGAUGGGUAGGGGGGUAAAGAGAAAAGGAGGGAGAAGGGAAGGAAGGAAAGAAGAGAGGAAAGAAAGGAGGGAAGGAAAAAAGGGCCAAACUUUCUGAUCUAUGAACUUCUCAGUUCAGCUGUCACAUUAUGAGAAGUAAAUCAGAAUUUUUUUAAGGAGAAGUCAUUCUUAGCACUACAAUAAUUGUACCAGUAAUUGAGGAAACCAAGACAAUCUUCACCUGAAUAAUAGAGGGUCUGAGAACUGUCAGCCUUUUGCCAUUCAAAAACAUUUAUGUCCAACCUGAAAAAAAAGCAUCAAUAAAACCUAUCCCAAGCAUUC
rnacentral:lncRNA from 1 species